CCUACGGUGGGCAGCAGUGGGGGAUAUUGCACAAUGGGGGAAACCCUGAUGCAGCGACGCCGCGUGUGGGAAGACGGUCCUCUGGAUUGUAAACCACUGUCCCCAGGGACGAAGAUGACGGUACCUGGGGAGGAAGCUCCGGCAAACUACGUGCCAGCAGCCGCGGUACUACGUAGGGAGCAAGCGUUGUCCGGAAUUACUGGGUGUAAAGGGAGCGUAGGGGGGAUGGCAAGUAGGGUGUUAAAUCUACCGGCUAAACUGGUAGUCGCACUCAAAACUGCUAUUCUUGAGUGAAGUAGAGGCAGGCGGAAUUCCUGGUGUAGCGGUGAAAUGCGUAGAUAUUAGGAAGAACACCAGUGGCGAAGGCGGCCUGCUGGGCUUUUACUGACGCUGAGGCUCGAAAGUGUGGGGAGCAAACAGGAUUAGAUACCCUAGUAGUC
rnacentral:rRNA from 1 species